rnacentral:lncRNA from 1 species
GGAGCCAGUUGGGAUCUGUCCAGCCUCUGUCUCUUCCCCAAGCUGCCUCUGUUCUGCUGGCCCCUCGCUUGGGGCAAGGCCACUGUGUAGCAGGUGCCCAUGCGCACCACUGCCUACCUACUCUGUCGGCCCCUUUCAGGGUCUGGGCAGAGGAGGGAAAGAGCAGAGAGCAGCCGGGGCCACACAGCCCCCCAGAGAGGCACAUGUGAUGGAGAGGAGAGCCAGGAUUCAUCACUGGUGCCCUCCAGGAGGCCAAGCAGCAUGUGAUGCCUCAGGUUUGGAUUCACUUCUUCAUUCAGCUGGGAGAGCACAGAGGAUUUCCAACCUUCUCCUCUGGGUUCUGAAGGCUGGCCAAAUCCCCAGGCCCUGGCGGAGCCUUGCACCCCAGGAAAGGUCCCCUCCACCCACCUACUUCCCAAGGAUGGCCAUCGCCCUCCAAGUUCCAUCUCACAUUAGGAAACAACCUGAAAAACUCUCCUGUGAGGUUUGGUGAGAAACAGAAAGGAAUCCGCUGGUGAAGUCACAGUGGGCUCUUAAUCAGGGUGGACCCAUGAUUGUGCCAGAAUCUUCCUUACUCCCUACCCUCCCUUUGAGCCAAGAUGGCAGAAACCAUCACCUGCUACAGUGGCCCAGGGAGGUCCCACGAAUCCCCACAUCCCAUAUCCACCCAGGGACCAGUCUGCCAGGCCCCUGUGGCUCUGUGCUCUCCUUGUGAUGCAGCCCAGCUCCUGCUCACUCUGCCGGCUCCCUUGUCUUAGACUCUGGCUCCUUGCUCAUCCGUUCCCAUCAUGCCUCACACAGGGGAGCUGUCUCACCCUCCGCCUCCCCCAUCCCCCCCGCAUGGACCUGGCAGCUCCUGCUUAUGCAGGAGACUCAGU